CCAAGCAAUCAAAAAUGAAUUUAACAAGAAGAGAGCUUCAGGUAACUGUUUCAAAUAAAUAGAUCUCCCUGAAAGAACAGUCUAGUGUCAGGUUAUCUGGAGCAAAGGGAGCGUAUAAACCGCGUCUGUUUCUGUGCUCACCAUCUGUGUUCCAAGAAUCUACGAUGUUUUCCUUGGCUGUGAUCCUCGCCUUGAUCUGCAUUGGAAGUUCAGUGACCAAUGCCCAAGUUGGUCUUCGCAUUGAACAAGGCAGCCUGAGCUUCAAAACUUUAAAACGGGUCAAGCUCCAGUUGUGUUUAAAAGUCCAUUCAGCACGCCACCUACCGUUAUUCUAAGCAUGACAAGAUUAGACUUCAACAAGGAUACUAACGUGAGAAUUGAUACUUACUACGAGAACUUAACCACCACUGGCUUUACACUGAAAAUAAAUUCGUGGCUUGAUACCACGGUGUAUAAUAUCCGAGUAUAUUGGUAUGCCAUUGGCUACUCCUCAUGGUAACCCUAACUUCUGAUUGUAAACAAAAUAAAAUCUAUUCAACAGACAUGUUCUGUUGUUGUUGUU